ensembl:lncRNA
GCUGAGCGUUGCGGGUGCUGAGCUCUUGGUGCUGAGCGUGCUGAGUCCUGGGGAUGUUUGGGUUUUGAGAACUAGGCCAUGAGGUGCUAGGUACCGGGGGUGCGCAGGUGCUGGGUCUGAGGAGUGCUGGAGGUGCCAAGUUCUGUGUAUUGUGUGCACUGAGUGCAAGGUGUGCUGGUAGCUGGGUGCAAGAGGUUCCUGGUUCUGAGUGCUGAUGUGGUCUAGGUGCUGAGGGUGUCCUGGUUCUGGGAGCUGGGCGUGCUGGUGUCAGUAGGGCAAUGGUGACCACCGUCUGGGCUUGGGUGUACCCAAGCGGUGAGGAAGGCUCACAACGUCUUCCAGGCAGGAGCUGAGGAGGGUGAGAGCCACCAGGACACCAGGCUGUGGUGUCGACUUCAGGGAGAGUGUCCAGGAAGUGCUGGAGGAAGGCCUUUCCCUUCUCCUCUGGUGGCGGGUGGUGCGUGGAGGAUGGUGCACUGGGUUGGAAGGCACCCAUGUCAUACUGUGGGCAGAAAGUUUGCAGUCAGCAGAGG